rnacentral:lncRNA from 1 species
AAAAAAUUAAGUAGUCAUGGAUUAUUUUAGAGCAUGGAUUGAGGCAUGGAUUUAAUUCCAAUCCAUGCUAAUCUAGAGCGGGAUUGGUGUAAACGAACAAAGUCUGAGGUGGUGCAUCAUGGGUUCAUUCCUCAAAUUUGGUGGGAUGAACUCAUUCCUCAUAUUAGUACUAACUAACUAACUAUGAGGAAUGAGGUGAUGAUGGAUCAACUCAUUCCAUUCCACAAACCAAACAAAAUUAGUGAGGAGUGAGAAGAUGAUGGACUAACUCAUUCCUCAAACCAAACACCCUAUUAGUAAGUUAAUUCGAUCCGAAUUCAUGCUAUUGUGUAUCGGCCCCAGCUCAUGUGUCAUAUCCACGAAUUGUGUAUUUUGCAGGUUGGCCAGAACGCAGGGUGUGGGGAAUUGGUGAGCGACUGCAGCCAUGUCUGUGGCCACCGGCGUGAGCGACGCGGCCAUCGCAGUGCGCGAUAAGCUCUGUGGCAAGAUUGGCGAGACCAAGGUGAAGCGGUACUGGCCAGAAAAGCCGUCUGAGUGGGCCAACUAGAGAUGACAAUGGGUACCCGCGACUCGAUACCUGAUGUAUAUUUACUCCAUUAGGGUAUGUAUGUAGACUAAAUAUUCUACCCGUGAGUCUGUUAUUGGGUAAAAAUCUUCACUCAAUGGGUAAACGAGUAUUAGAACGUUCGCCUUCACCCAUACCCGUUAACUCGUGGGUAUAAAAUACCCAAUAUAAACUUAGCCCAAGCAUGAACUUGGACUUUAGUCAUCCAUCUUUUUUACUAUUUAACAAACUGUAAUGUCAUAGAAGCCUUAACGACAAUUUAAUGACCAUGUAAUGGAACAUGUAAUGUGCUAUGUAGUACUAUCCUAGUGUUACUAUUUUAUCCAAUUACCUUUGGUGUGCUGAAUGGAUGGUUAAAUGAUGCUAGAAAAUUUUGCAAUGGUA